AUUGAACGCUGGCGGCAGGCCUAACACAUGCAAGUCGAACGAGCGGCGGACGGGUGAGUAAUGUCUGGGAAACUGCCUGAUGGAGGGGGAUAACUACUGGAAACGGUAGCUAAUACCGCAUACCAUCAGAUGUGCCCAGAUGGGAUUAGCUAGUAGGUGGGGUAAAGGCUCACCUAGGCGACGAUCCCUAGCUGGUCUGAGAGGAUGACCAGCCACACUGGAACGGAGCCAAGGUCCAGAAUCCGAGGGGAGGCAGCAGUGGGGAAUAUUGCACAAUGGGCGCAAGCCUGAGGCAGCCAUGCCGCGUGUAUGAAGAAGGCCUUCGGGUUGUAAAGUACUUUCAGCGGGGAGGCGUUACCCGCAGAAGAAGCACCGGCUAACUCCGUGCCAGCAGCCGCGGUAAUUC
rnacentral:rRNA from 1 species